rnacentral:rRNA from 1 species
UACGGAGGGUGCAAGCGUUGUCCGGAUUUAUUGGGUUUAAAGGGUGCGUAGGCGGCUCUUUAAGUCAGUGGUGAAAGCCGACAGCUUAACUGUCGAAAUGCCAUUGAUACUGGGGAGCUUGAGUACGGUAGAGGUAGGCGGAAUUAAUGGUGUAGCGGUGAAAUGCAUAGAUACCAUUAAGAACACCGAUUGCGAAGGCAGCUUACUAUAGUGUAACUGACGCUGAGGCACGAAAGUGUGGGGAUCAAACAGG